rnacentral:rRNA from 2 species
UACGUAGGGUGCGAGCGUUAAUCGGAAUUACUGGGCGUAAAGCGUGCGCAGGCGGUUUUGUAAGUCAGAUGUGAAAUCCCCGAGCUCAACUUGGGAACUGCGUUUGAAACUACAAGACUAGAAUAUGUCAGAGGGGGGUAGAAUUCCACGUGUAGCAGUGAAAUGCGUAGAGAUGUGGAGGAAUACCAAUGGCGAAGGCAGCCCCCUGGGAUAAUAUUGACGCUCAUGCACGAAAGCGUGGGGAGCAAAC